rnacentral:rRNA from 1 species
UACAGAGGGUGCGAGCGUUGUUCGGAAUUAUUGGGCGUAAAGCGCGUGUAGGCGGGACGGUAAGUCGGAUGUGAAAGCCCUGGGCUCAACCCAGGAAGUGCAUUCGAAACUGCAGAGCUGGAGUCCUGGAGAGGAAGGCGGAAUUCUCGGUGUAGAGGUGAAAUUCGUAGAUAUCGAGAGGAACACCGGUGGCGAAGGCGGCCUUCUGGACAGUGACUGACGCUGAGACGCGAAAGCGUGGGGAGCAAACAGG